CCUGGUGGGUAGUUUGACUGGGGCGGUCUCCUCCCAAAGAGUAACGGAGGAGCACGAAGGUGGGCUAAUCACGGUUGGACAUCGUGAGGUUAGUGCAAUGGCAUAAGCCCGCUUGACUGCGAGAAUGACAAUUCGAGCAGGUGCGAAAGCAGGUCAUAGUGAUCCGGUGGUUCUGAAUGGAAGGGCCAUCGCUCAACGGAUAAAAGGUACUCCGGGGAUAACAGGCUGAUACCGCCCAAGAGUUCAUAUCGACGGCGGUGUUUGGCACCUCGAUGUCGGCUCAUCACAUCCUGGGGCUGAAGUCGGUCCCAAGGGUAUGGCUGUUCGCCAUUUAAAGUGGUACGCGAGCUGGGUUUAGAACGUCGUGAGACAGUUCGGUCCCUAUCUGCCGUGGGCGUUGGAAGAUUGAAGGGGGCUGCUCCUAGUACGAGAGGACCGGAGUGGACGAACCUCUGGUGUUCGGGUUGUGUCGCCAGACGCAUUGCCCGGUAGCUAAGUUCGGAAUCGAUAACCGCUGAAAGCA
rnacentral:rRNA from 1 species